GUGACCCACGAGAAAGACUAGUCAACCCAGGAGAUAAGAACCAGCAGGAGGCUUACAGACGGCGAGGGGGUGUGACACAGAAAGAGGGAAGCGGGCAUGACUGACACCCUGGUACAGAAAAGACCAAGGGUCAGGGCUCCGUCGGAAGCCUUCAUCUGUGAAUUCCAUAAUCACCGUAGAGACACGGCUAUAUUGUGCUAUAAGACACAAUCUCUCCAUCUCUGGCCUUACAGAUUUCCCAGCCUGGUUGAGGGACAGACUUAGAAACAUACAAGCAUGACAUGAUAUAAUAAUCACCAUGCUACAAACAGAUGCAAGAGGAAGGCAGAGGAAGGACAUCCAACCCAGAGAAGGGCCCACCAUGGGUGCUGACAGCUUCAUGAUGGGAGAGGAGAGCCCCUAGUCACUCAGCUGCCGUGGCAGGAGAGGAAAACUUAAUGGGCUGAAGAAAGCGAGGAUGCAGUCUGGCUUUGGCUUCUCAGCACGGCCACACGGACAUCUGAGUGUCCACCCCGAACUGUGGUCAGUGAGAAGGAGAAGAUGGGUCUCAGAGGUGCUAAGUGACUUCCCCGAGGCCACCCCACUGUCCCCAGUCGACUGGCCCCAGAACCGGAGCUUCCGGCUUUCCGAGGCACUGCCCUUACCACCUGCAUCCACUGGUCAUCUUCGUAGAUGACCAGAAGACACAGCAGUGUCACCUUGUUUGAACUCAGCUGGGAAUAUACCAGGUGCGCAAUUUAAAUUUUUGUCACUACACGAGUGUCAGCAUGCCUGACCCCCAAAUUACCAGGAGCGUUGAUUUGGGGCUUACAGAUUAACUUUAGUGAAUAGGCAAAUUUGCAAACACAGAAUUUGCACAUAAAAAGGAUCAACCAUACCCAAGAGUGGAACCACUGGGUCACAUGGUAAUUUGUGUAGCUUUCUGAAGAACCACCAAACUGGGUUCCACGGUGGUGGCACCAUUUUGCAAGCCUGGAGGAUUUUUAAACUCAGAUUUCUGUUUAUUAUAAAUAACAGAACGAUGAAAAGCUUUGUGCGUGAAGAUUUAUGUAAAUCAAUGAUUACUUCCGAAAAACUUGAUUGAAACGGAAUUGCUGAAUCAAAGGAGUUUUUAAUACUUUGAGGACAGGUCAAUACGUUAAUAUUUGUAAGGCACCGAGAACAGGGACCUGGUGAAUAGUGUUAUUAUUUAGUGCUAAUUAAAGAAAUUAAAUAUUAAAUAAAUCACGCCAGGUUCAACUCUUUCCCACUCCCGGGAGAGGAGCACACACAUAGCACAGGUCAUUCGGGGAGACAGGCACACCGGGCAGGGGGAAGGGGGUGUUGGGGGGUCUGAUACGGAAGAGAAGACGGUCAGCCGUGUUCCAAGGCCAAAACUGCCCUCAGCCAGAGAGGACACUUCAUCUUUCCCAUUUGUACACAGACACCUGGUGUGUGUCCACCCACUCAACAUUUACUCCAGAACUGAAUCUCUCCUCUGUUUAAAAAUUCAUCAUUUUGUUUUAUAAUGAACUAAUAAUACGGGUUCGUUGCAG